rnacentral:rRNA from 1 species
AAAUUGAAGAGUUUGAUCAUGGCUCAGAUUGAACGCUGGCGGCAGGCCUAACACAUGCAAGUCGAACGGUAACAGGAAGAAGC